rnacentral:ncRNA from 1 species
GAGCAACUUAGGAUUUUAGGCUCCGCCGCAGUCUUUGCGGCGCAAACCGAUGGCAGGCUGGCGGUCUGCCGUACGGUCAAAAUCUAUCCGCCGGAG